AUGGUGACUGAAAAUGAAUAUGGAAUGUUUGACAUUGUUUAUAUUUAUUUCCAAGACAUAAUUAUAUUCACUCUUCCUAUUCUGAACAACUUAACCUUUUCCCUUCUAUUUCUCCACAAGCGCCGUAGAAAAUCGAACGAAAAACACUCAGAUUUCCAAAAAGCGCAUACUCCAAUUUUCAAUCAGUUAUAUUAUAUUUCCUUUUCUUUAAUAGUUUAUUAUGAUACAAGCUUUUUGGCUAGUUUGGUUUUAAAGGAAUUCGAUGAAAUGUAUGCCGAGGCUGUGAUUAAUCUUAUGAUAGUUGCGCCAUUAUUUUUGUCAAGUUUUCUAUUAGGAUUUGUGAUAGCUUUUUCGUUUCUUGCCGCAAUUCAGCGUAUUCUAAUACUGCAUUUUAAAGAAUAUAAGUGGCUAAUGACUGGGUUUCAAUUAAAACUAAUUAUUGUAUUCAUUUAUGUACAAGUUAUCUAUUACGGUAUACUGAAAUGGAAAAACGAACGUCCACAAAAAAACUCCAGCAAGAAACCAUUCUCCUGGAGAUUUACAACUGUAUUUUGUUUGCGAUGACAAUCAUUACCGGAUCUUUUUACUUUCACAUUUACAAACUUUUUCGCCGUUUACCAUCUACGUAUUUCUCCUCGAAAAUCCAUUUGCUCUAUCAGUUCGUUCCAAUUUAUAUCGCACAAUUGGUAUAUUUGUUUGCUGAUUUUUUGGAUUUUAUCACCGAAAACAUGCACAUCUCUAUUAGCUUCAAUAUCUCAGCAGUUCUUGCAGUAUUACCUCAUUUCAUUCCGCUUAUUGUCUCCCUAUCAUAUAUUGCAUCAAAAGAGAAUAUUAGAACUAUGGUGAUUUCGGUGAUACGACCUGCCAUCAGGGAUUCGUCUGAAAUGUCUCCACAGAUAUAA